CAUAAAGCUCUAAGCUACUGAGCAUUUAGCAAUGAAAGAAGAAUUUGAGUUUGCCAAACAUAAAUAGCAAAACGCAAAACAAAUCUCAGGCAUCCUCUCGAAAGAAAAUACACAAAAAAUGAUGAUGCUUCAAUGCAAGUUUCUUGAAGGCCCUUCUUAUCUCCUUAUUGUCGGCGUUUCUAGCAAUUCCAAGAAUAUCGUAAAAAUCUUCACCAAGUACACAACCAAGGAACACGAAUAUAACAUUGCCAGUAAGAAGACUUUUGAAAACGUGUCCACUUAUUAUUGAAUAUCGGCGCAAAAUACAAGGUGGUCUGCGGUCUUUCGGAGUCUC